ensembl:lncRNA
CUUAACGAUUCAUAAUGAGGCCCUAAACAUUCUGUUUAAACUCUACCCCAAACCUUAACCAUUCAUAAUGAGGGGCCCUAAACAUUCUGUUUAAACUCUAUCCCAAACCUUAACGAUUCAUAAUGAGGCCCUAAACAUUCUGUUUAAACUCUACCCCAAACCUUAACCAUUCAUAAUGAGGCCCUAAACUUAAUACACUUCAACUAUGACAGACAAAAUGAGGGAAAAAAAUCCAGAAAAUCAAAAUUUUAAUUAAUUUAUUUGCAAAUUAUGGUGGAAAUAAGUAUUUGGUCAAUAACACAAGUUUACACAGCAACUCGUAUCUCUCAGAGAGUCACUAUUCCACUAAGACCUAAUUGAAACACAAAGCAGAAAAUGGAAUCAGAGCUGUGUGUGUCAUUCUUAUCGAAAGUCCUGUUAACUCUCUCACAAAAACACACGCUUGCACGCACGCACACACACACACACACACACACACAACACACACACCCUCUAGCUCAAUCUAGCCAUCUCUGGUCACUGUCAGCAUCUAGUUAAUGAGAAGGGGACUAAAAUCAAUAUACCCACCUUGGGAGGAGUUCCUGAUUACCUAGCCCUCGUGUCUGUCUGUCUGUCUGUCUGUCUGUCUGUCUGUCUGUCUGUCUGUCGGUCUGGUCUGUCGGUCUGGUCUGUCUGUCUGUCUGUCUGUCUGUCUGUCUGUCUGUCUGUCUGUCUGUCUGUCUGUCUAUGUGUGUGUGUGUGUCCUUUAUCUUCCUCAGUGGGGAAAGAGAGAAAUAAAGAAGUACAUUUAAAGGCGAAUGUCAUCCUCAAUCAUUUCUGCUGACUAAUCUCGUCUGUCUGUCUGUCUGUCUGUCUGUCUGUCUGUCUGUCUGUCUGUCUGUCUGUGUGUGUGUGUGUCCUUUAUCUUCCUCAGUGGGGAAAGAGAGAAAUAAAGAAGUACAUUUAAAGGCGAAUGUCAUCCUCAAUCAUUUCUGCUGACUAAUCUCGUCUGUCUGUCUGUCUGUCUGUCUGUCUGUCUGUCUGUCUGUCUGUCUGUCUGUCUGUCUGUCUGUGUGUGUGUCUGUCUGUCUGUGUCUGUCUGUCUGUCUGUCUGUCUGUC